GCAAAAACAGGUGCAAACCUUCUGUAUGCUGGGUGUUUGAUUAUGUAAUUUCACCAGCACAGCGGGUUAUCUGCUAUAAAAUUAUAGUGCUGGUGUAAUUUUUGUCUAUGUUUCUACGCAGGAGUUCAAGUCUUUAAAAGGGACCACUUUCUGAAAAUUUUCCAAGGAUAGGACCAUUUCUUGAUUGCCAUUUUGUGCGCCUUCUUUAGUUUAGACCAGCAUUGGGGGUUGUGUUUACAUUGCCUGAUGCUUGUAUUAUGUUUUUUUCAUUGGAAAUGGAACAUACAUAAGAGUUUGAACCUAUUUUCACCAUAUAUUCAUUUUCCCAAAAACCUUUUUGUUUCUGCUAUGAGCAUUGCACAUGAUAAAGCUGUUUUAACUAUAUAUUCUUAUAUGGACUUUAU
rnacentral:misc_RNA from 1 species